AAAGCCUUAAGUUAAAAUAAACUAUUAACCUUCAAAGUUAAAUAUACAUCAAUUUAUGUAGGCUUUA
rnacentral:tRNA from 1 species